GACAGAGGUGCCGAGCGUUAGGCGGAAUCACUGGGCUUAAAGCGUGUGUAGGCGGGCCGUUAAGUAUCUUGUGAAAUCCCCCGGCUCAACCGGGGAAUGGCUGGAUAUACUGGCGGUCUUGAGCGAUCUAGGGGCAGAUGGAACAAGUGGUGGAGCGGUGAAAUGCGUAGAUAUCACUUGGAACGCCAAAGGUGAAAACAGUCUGCUGGGGAUCUGCUGACGCUGAGACACGAAAGCCAAGGGAGCGAACGGG
rnacentral:rRNA from 1 species